GGCUGGAUGGCCGAGUGGUCUAAGGCGGCAGACUCAAGAUCAUCUUCCCCGAAAACCGGGGUGUAUUCUGUUCUCGUAAGAGGCGCGCGUUCGAAUCGCGCUCCAGUCA